rnacentral:rRNA from 1 species
UAUUUAUAUCAUAGUGGCGCACGGGUGCGUAACACGUAUGCAACCUACCUAUUAUUGGGGGAUAGCCUUUGGAAACGGAGAUUAAUACCGCAUAAUACGAUCAACUGGCAUCGGUUGAUUGUUAAAGCAUUUGCGAUAAUAGAUGGGCAUGCGUCCAAUUAGUUAGUUGGUGUGGUAAUGGCUCACCAAGACGAUGAUUGGUAGGGGAUCUGAGAGGAUAAUCCCCCACACUGGCACUGAGAUACGGGCCAGACUCCUACGGGAGGCAGCAGUAGGGAAUAUUGGGCAAUGGGCGGAAGCCUGACCCAGCCAUGCCGCGUGCAGGAAGACGGCGUUAUGCGUUGUAAACUGCUUUUUUAUAGGAAGAAGGAUCCCUUGCGAGGGAAGGUGACGGUACUAUAAGAAUAAGCACCGGCUAACUCCGUGCCAGCAGCCGCGGUAAUACAGAGGGUGCAAGCGUUGUCCGGAUUUAUUGGGUUUAAAGGGUGCGUAGGCGGUUUAUUAAGUCAGUGGUGAAAGACGGUCGCUCAACGAUUGCAGUGCCAUUGAUACUGGUAGACUUGAGUGAGAUUGAGGUAGCUGGAAUGGAUAGUGUAGCGGUGAAAUGCAUAGAUAUUAUCCAGAACACCGAUUGCGAAGGCAGGUUACUAAGUCUUAACUGACGCUGAGGCACGAGAGUGUGGGGAUCAAACAGGAUUAGAUACCCUGGUAGUCCACACUGUAAACG